AAGGAGAGAUCACAUGAUUUCUUUUUGAAAGGCGGCGUAAGCUGUCGCUAAAGGAUGGACCCGCGGUGCAUUAGCUAGUUGGUAAGGUAACGGCUUACCAAGGCAACGAUGCAUAGCCGAGUUGAGAGACUGAUCGGCCACAUUGGGACUGAGACACGGCCCAAACUCCUACGGGAGGCAGCAGUAGGGAAUCUUCCACAAUGGACGCAAGUCUGAUGGAGCAACGCCGCGUGAGUGAAGAAGGUUUUCGGAUCGUAAAGCUCUGUUGUUGGUGAAGAAAGAUAGUGAGAGUAACUGCUCAUUAUUUGCCGGUAAUCAACCAGAAAGUCACGGCUAACUACGUGCCAGCAGCCGCGGUAAUACGUAGGUGGCAAGCGUUGUCCGGAUUUAUUGGGCGUAAAGCGAGCGCAGGCGGAAAGAUAAGUCAGAUGUGAAAGCCCUCGGCUUAACCGAGGAAUAGCAUCGGAAACUGUCUUUCUUGAGUGCAGAAGAGGAGAGUGGAACUCCAUGUGUAGCGGUGGAAUGCGUAGAUAUAUGGAAGAACACCAGUGGCGAAGGCGGCUCUCUGGUCUGUAACUGACGCUGAGGCUCGAAAGCAUGGGUAGCGAACAGGAUUAGAUACCCUGGUAGUCCAUGCUGUAAACGAUGAGUGCUAAGUGUUGGGAGGUUUCCGCCUCUCAGUGCUGCAGCUAACGCAUUAAGCACUCCGCCUGGGGAGUACGACCGCAAGGUCAAAACUCAAAGGAAUUGACGGGGGCCCGCACAAGCGGUGGAGCAUGUGGUUUAAUUCGAAGCAACGCGAAGAACCUUACCAGGUCUUGACAUCUAGUGCCAACCUAAGAGAUUAGGCGUUCCCUUCGGGGACACUAAGACAGGUGGUGCAUGGCUGUCGUCAGCUCGUGUCGUGAGAUGUUGGGUUAAGUCCCGCAACGAGCGCAACCCUUAUUAUUAGUUGCCAGCAUUAAGUUGGGCACUCUAAUGAGACUGCCGGUGACAAACCGGAGGAAGGUGGGGAUGACGUCAAGUCAUCAUGCCCCUUAUGACCUGGGCUACACACGUGCUACAAUGGGCAGUACAACGAGGAGCGAACUUGUGAAGGCAAGCGAAUCUCUGAAAGCUGUUCUCAGUUCGGACUGUAGGCUGCAACUCGCCUACACGAAGCUGGAAUCGCUAGUAAUCGCGGAUCAGCACGCCGCGGUGAAUACGUUCCCGGGCCUUGUACACACCGCCCGUCACACCAUGAGAG
rnacentral:rRNA from 1 species